UGCUCAUCAGACAGCAAACGUGGAUCUCCCACUAUGGAUGCGUUUGUCACUGAGACGUAUAGUGUAUGAUGUCAUUAAGCGAUUGGAAGACUCUGGAGGAAUUUCAUUGCUUAAAUGAGACUCUGAACAGAUCUGAGGAGCCAAAAGAACAUCUCACUCACUGGACGACUAACACAAGUCACAGUUCAUCCCUCUCUGACGCGUUUUGAUGUUCAGCCUUCAUCAAGGAGUAAAAUAGACAACUCAUCAGUCCACCAAUCAGAAACUGACACAUGUGAAAACCUCAUGUUCCAAAGAGUGUGAAUGUCCACAACAUCCAGGAGAUGGCAACAAUACAAAAAUACAACUACGCGUACCCCUUAUCAGGUUGACAAGACAAUAAAACAAAAAAAUUCAAAAGGUGCAAAAUACACGGAUGUGUGCGUUCUGUAUAUGGCGCAUUUCAAACCAGCAAAAUAAGGAUAACUUGUAAUUGCUUGACCGCCAUCCCAUAUAAAAUCUGUGUCAUUUAAAUCAUCAAUCCAAUGAGAGAUUUAUCAAUCAAUCAUAAUCCAAGCAUGUAUGAGAGCAAACAGUCAACUAGGAAGCUGAAUAUAAAACAUCACCAUAGUCUCGUUUGAUGAAAUGAAAGUGCAUAUGCUACUUCCGGGGACAUCCGCAUUAUCAGCCAGUCACUCGUCUGGCUCAUUAUUCACAUUAAAUCUCACUAAACCUUACCUCUCCCAUAUGCUUUGUGUUCCCUUCUCCACUGGGAACGGAAAAAAACGGCACUUUUUGCGACUGCUUCGGUGAUUGCAGCCGAAAACAAACAGUACACCAUCUUUCCGUGUGAAGUGAUGCUGUGUUUGUGUUGCGCAACGGCAGGCUGCCCCCGGAAGUGGUCAAAUCAUAUCAUGCAGGGAUUCAAACGAGGCUGCGCUACCCCAUGAGCAACGAAUGAGCUUUCAGGAAACUGGACUCAUGUAUAUCUGUAUAUUUAUAUGGUCAAUGCGGGGGUGGGGGUGGGGUGGCAGAGAUGGUAAGUAUUUGUGGAGUGGAGGUGUUUUGUUGUGGAUUGUGGUGUGAGGAGUUCUUUGAGAUAUUCUGAAGCGUUUUCAUGGAUGCACUGGUGGGUAAAUAGACUGAGUUUGUUUUCAAUGCGGAGGUGAAACCUCAGAACCAGGCAUCGGUUCCCGAGAUCGUAGUGGUUCAUAGUGGAUUAAUACAUGUGGUAUCGUGAUCAUACUGGCUCCAAGAACAUAGUGGUUCCAAGAUUGUAGCAGUUCUCAAGAUGCAGUGGCUCUGAGAUGGUAUCUACCAUCUGAGAGCUGUUACCAAAGUUGUUUGGUUGCAAAGUCUCCAGUUACCAGUAAAUGCUUGGUGACCCAACUUCUUAUUUUAUUUAUUUAUUUAUUUUUUUUAGAAUGUGUUGCAAGCCUGAAAUGCAGGAAUGGAUAUCUUGAAUAUAUAAUAUCUACAAUGAAAUAGAAGUCAAAGUAAAUCAGUGUUUGUUUGGUUGUUUGUUUUUAAUUUCCCUUACUGUGUCACCUUUUUUUCUGAUUUGCAAUUGUAUAUCCAAUUGGUCUAAAUUAAUUUAACCAAUUUUACACUAAACAUGAGUAAAUGUACUUUUCCUUUAAAAUACAGCUAUUUUGGAUGAAUUACUCCAUCAUCAUUAAUUAAUGAUUGCUUUUUGUCAUUUGAAUCAUGCAUUCAGCCACUGUAACUCUCCACUGUAAAAAGACUAUUCAAAAAGGUUGUGUCAAGACUACCUUAAUAGUUUAAGUUGAUGGAACAUGAAUAUAAAUGUUCAAGCAACUUUUAUAAUGAUUCCACGAUUGAGUCAAAUCAUUUGUGUUACAGUAAUGAAUUAUUCAUUUUUGGAAUGUACUGGGCAACGGGUAUUCCACAAAUAAAAGGGCUCCAUAGAACAAAACAAUAAACCAACUCAAGUCUCUCUCAUGUUCUGUUUUGACAGUGUCAUUUUGUGUAAGUCUCAGAUUGUAUUUUUAAUACUAACCCCUGGCCAAACUACCCUCACCUUUGAAUUAUAGUCUUUCUUGUGAGGCACAAGAAAGUGCUGUUGUUGGGAAUCAAGACAAAUAAGCUUUCAUUACUUAAAAAAUAUUGUGUGUAAAUAAUAAAAUGUAUUUUUUUUCUUUUUGUUGUCUUUCUGGAAUACAUUUGGAGCACAAGUCUAUAGAUCUGCGAUUACUGAUUAUGCCAUGAAAAAAAAUUGAUUGUUUUAAAAUAUAAAAUUUAUGUCAACUUUUCAAGUUCAGUCAACUCAAUCUUUUAAGACAUCCCAUUCAGUACUUUCAAGUCUAUUGUUACAUCUCACAAGGUAAUCAGGUUUUAAUUAAUCUGAAAUGGUUUGUUACUUUAUUAUUCAUUUUGAUGUUUUGCUGCAUUGAAAAAGUGAAGCUUAAAUACACUCGCAAUAAAUAAAUAAAUACUGAAAUUUCUGCCACUGAAAUUGCUCUUAAAGUAUGUUGUUUCAACCAUAUUAUAAAUGUACUUUGAGGGAAACCUAACAAGUGGAAAAAAAUAGAGUAAAUUUAUAUGAUUCAAGUUUUACUUUUUUUCAGUGUGAAUUGCAUAUGAAAAACAUCAAAAAUGACUUUUAUACUUUUCGUGAUGCCAUCACGAAAUGGCGUGAGAUUGGGUUGGACACAAACAUGGGGAGCUUAAGACUUUUGCGCAGCACUGCAGCACCUUGAAGUGCUCACGACUUAUCCAAAGCUAGCUGGCACAGAUGCAACAUGUUGCAUUUUAAAUAAUUAAUUAAAUUAAACCGUCACAGGUUACACUGAAAAGUAAAACUCUGGCCAACUCAAAUGUACUGUAAUUGUACUGAAAUUUGUUAUACACAAAUUUAUGAAUUUCUCUCAAAGUAUUGUUCUAAUUUAAAAAUGAGAAAAUUGAAUAGAUUUUGGUUAAAGAAAUUUCUGAAUUUUAUUAAUGGUUUGAAGUUUCACUAUUUUAUAGUGUGAGUUCAUCUCCAGAUGUAAAAUAUUAAAAGUGACAAU